GAAAUGCGAUAAGUAGUGUGAAUUGCAGAAUUCAGUGAAUCAUCGAAUCUUUGAACGCACAUUGCGCCCCUUGGUAUUCCAUGGGGCAUGCCUGUUCGAGCGUCAUUUGUACCCUCAAGCUCUGCUUGGUGUUGGGUGUUUGUCCCGUCUCCGCGCGUGGCCUCGCCCCAAAGUGAUUGGCAGCCGGCGUACUGGUCCCGGAGCGCAGCACAUGUCGCGCAAACGAGUGCCUUGGUACGGCGGCGUCCAUAAGCCCCUCUCUCACGCUCUUGACCUCGGAUCAGGUAGGGAUACCCGCUGAACUUAAGC
rnacentral:misc_RNA from 1 species